GACGAACGCUGGCGGCGUGCUUAACACAUGCAAGUCGAACGAAGAGCGAUGGAAGCUUGCUUCUAUCAAUCUUAGUGGCGAACGGGUGAGUAACGCGUAAUCAACCUGUCCUUCAGAGGGGGACAACAGUUGGAAACGACUGCUAAUACCGCAUACGAUCUAAUCUCGGCAUCGAGGAUAGAUGAAAGGUGGCCUCUACAUGUAAGCUAUCACUGAAGGAGGGGAUUGCGUCUGAUUAGCUAGUUGGAGGGGUAACGGCCCACCAAGGCGAUGAUCAGUAGCCGGUCUGGGAGGAUGAACGGCCACAUUGGGACUGAGACACGGCCCAGACUCCUACGGGAGGCAGCAGUGGGGAAUCCUCCGCAAUGGACGAAAGUCUGACGGAGCAACGCCGCGUGAGUGAUGACGGCCUUCGGGUUGUAAAGCUCUGUUAAUCGGGACGAAAGGCCUUCUUGCGAAUAGUGAGAAGGAUUGACGGUACCGGAAGAGAAAGCCACGGCUAACUACGUG
rnacentral:rRNA from 1 species